rnacentral:rRNA from 1 species
AACGAACGCUGGCGGCGUGGAUUAGGCAUGCAAGUCGGUGCGUGAAAGUGUAGCAAUACAUGAGUAAAGCGGCGAACUGGUGAGUAACAGGUGGGUAACGUGCCCUGAAGUGGGGGAUAACACCGGGAAACCGGUGCUAAUACCGCAUGUGGUGUCAAAAACCUUAGGUUUUUGGCCAUUAAAGCAGUAGUGCGCUUCAGGA